AUCGUUCACGAUGGUACAUCUGUCAGUUUUAACAAUACAGGGAAGAUCAGCACUGGCCUUGCAUAAAGAUGACACGCUAUACAAAGAGGCUUUCCAUUUAAGA
rnacentral:snRNA from 1 species